UACAGAGGGUGCAAGCGUUGUUCGGAAUUACUGGGCGUAAAGCGCGCGUAGGCGGCUUUUCAAGUCAGGGGUGAAAUCCCACAGCUUAACUGUGGAACUGCCUUUGAAACUGUAAAGCUUGAGUGUCGGAGGGGAUAGCGGAAUUGCUAAUGUAGAGGUGAAAUUCGUAGAUAUUAGCAGGAACACCGGUGGCGAAGGCGGCUAUCUGGACGACAACUGACGCUGAGGCGCGAAAGCGUGGGUAGUCAAACAGG
rnacentral:rRNA from 1 species